GCUCCUAUCUACUUUCACCAGGGGUGUGUAAAGUGUGGCUACUAUGGGCCACAAAGAUUCCAGCAAGACCCUGGGGGAGGUGGAGGGGUUUUUGCAGGGUCAAAGGAGGGGUGACUUUUAGUCAUCUUCUCCAGGCCGUACUGGAAGCCGUGGCCAGGCAACGUGUGGAGCUGGGCCCACCUACCCUAGCCUGAGAGAGGGGAGAACUUCACAGCCUGAGCAUUUUCCAGCGGCUUCCAGAUAGAUCCAAGAAUGCAGUCUGGGCUCCGAGCCAGAGGCUGGUAUUUGACAGCGGCGACCGCCUUCCAGACGGGCUGUGGGAAAAGGGGAAUCCAGCGUCCGUCUCGCAGGAUGCCACGACGAUGGCAGAGCGGCCGGGCUGAAGGAGCCGGGCUUCAAGAGACAAGAGGGAGACUGGUCCGGUUCAGCUGCUGCCCAGGCGGACGGGAAACCAGAAGAACCAGCAGCCAAUUGGCCGUGCCACAAGGCUCGAGACCAGCUUUCUCCUCCCAACCAAUCGGCGGCGUUAUCGGUCUCCAGGGAUUCCUAGCGCUCUAGAGCCGGUCAAACAGAAUUUCCCGUUCCCUCAGCAUCCGCCGCCCAAAAGACAUUUGGCUGUCGUCUCUCUUGGCAGAAAGACCGGACCUGCUGGUGUCAGGAAUGAGAGACCAGCCCCGGCCUCGACAUGCAAUCUACUCUCUGGUCGUCUUCCCAGAAGAACCUAAGAUCCUGACUCUGAGAGCCAAGGAGGAAAAAGAACCCUGACAUGAAUAUGGAAAGGAAAGGAACCGAUUCAAAGCGGAAAUCCCUUCAGGGAAACAGCAGUGCGGUGAGGCAUGAAGAGGAUGCAGGACCUUUGAAGAAGCCAAUCAGAUAAUGAUUCUGGAGAAAAUAAUGAAUAACGGAAAAAAUGAAAUCCACAUGCUAGAUUUGUGAUUCUGCAGCCUCCACUGAAAAACCGAAUUCUGCUAGUCUUCAAGAAUUGCUUGUCAGCCUGCGAGAACCAACGAGGCCACCAGCCUGGUCCAUUCCACCAGUCCCGGGGCCAAAUAUCGAAGCACCUGAGAGAUUUAAUUUGCUGAGAAAUGAAAAGGAAUAAUAAACACGGGGCAUAUACGUCAACUUGAAAGGCCAGCACAACCUCUCCCAUAGGCUGGCUGGGAAUUUGUAGCAGUGAGAACCUCACAUCUCUUGGCCGACUAGAGGAACUCACAAUCCAUCGGGGAAGGCUGACACCCAAACUUUAGGCAGCAGAGGGAGGAGAGAAUGGAAAAAUCGAUACGCACGUGACUGAAUACUUCACUGAUGGCCGCUCUUUUGGGAACCUGAGACAGAGUCCAAUCCCAACUCUCAGACUCUUCUGCCCGCCUGUCUUACGGAGCACCAAUUUUUGACUGGAAGGAGCAUAUGCCGGCUGGAGGACAAGAAAGAGAGUACCUCAGAUCAAUACAAGUCCCGAAAAGAGAUCCUCCGUGUGCACUCAACUGUCAAGACGGCGCAGAUGGAAACUUGCAAGAGACGGGGGAACCGAGGUCCACGGAAGUCGCCAGUCUGCGGUGGCUAGGGAAGAAAGAAUUAUCGUUGACGUCGUAAGCUCGGUUUGGGCAAGUGACGUGUCUGCUGAUUCUGCUGUAUCGCACUCUCCCCAGCGCUUUGUCCAAUCCUCUGCACGUUGUAAGCGCUCGGUAAAUCCCACCGAU